GGAAGUGGAAGACUGUUAAAAAGAAGACUAGGGCUAAGAAUUGCUUUGACAGCAAGGCAAUCCUAUUGGAAGUUGUGAAAGAGUUAACUGGCUGCUGUUCCAGACCUUGGAAGGUGGUCCUUUGCGAUUUCCAGAUCUGAGGAGACCUGCAAGUUUUGAGAGUGUCUGGGAGCCUGCCUGAGUCCAAUGCAACUUCAGAAUUCCAUCUAUCUUCAAAACAGGAUAUAUAAAGGCCUGGAGGUAGAGAUGUGCUGCAGUAGCUGAAGGUGUGAACGGAACCACCUACACUGACUCUAUGUCUAGAGGAUGAUUCCUUAUAACUAGACAAGUCUCAAUUGCCCUGAUUUUUCCAACAAGGUCAGCAAGUCUUUGCACAGUGGCAUGUCUGGUAGCUUGAAAAUCCCAGAUGUUUGCAGAACACAAGUCCUCAGUUUUCAUGUGCUGAGGGAAAGAACAUGUAUUUACUUGAAGUUGCACAGAAGCUGUUUGAUAUGCCUAUAGGCUUGUGCAGCAAGGAGAAUAUGCAAGAAUCCUGCAACACAUCUGACCAACUGCAGAUUAACACAGCUUGGAUUUAAAUAUUUUGGUUCAGUGAUGAGAUCAAUAUUUUAUUAAUUCAAAUCAAAUCUGAGUAUCGAAUUCAAACAACCUUCUGGCAGUAUGUCCGGAGCCCCCACUGUGUCAGUAUGCCUGAAUAAAUUGUUCUGUGAGAAUUAUUCAGUGAGCUGUCUUUGCAGUGCACAGAAAUAUUCAGAACUUUCUUGCACUUGACUGAUACAAGACAGCCUGACUUUCUGGCUUCACAUGCCGCUGCUCCACAGUGUGAUGCAGUUAGACAGAGAUAGCUCUGAAGUUAGUGUAGGCCCAUAUUGCAAAGCUUGUGUAUUUUGGAGGCAGCAGACCAACUCCAGAGAAGGAUUUGGGAAGCCUUUGAAGCGGUAGUUUUGUAAUUUACUGCUGGAUCCAGCAGGAGUAUGUGACAACCUCAAAGUAACUUUUGCAGUGCUGGGAUCGGCUUGCUUUUUUGGUUCAGCUGGAGAUUCUCCAGAUGGUCUACUACCUCUAUGGCAACUGGGAACUGUACUUGGAAAAUAUUCAGCAAACUGCAGAUUGUUGUUGCUUUUUUUCUGCCAAAAAAGUUAAGAUCUGUUGAAGCUCUGACAGCUGUACCUUGUCAUGGAGAAAAUCCUCUGAAGAAAAAAACAUUGACCAUUAAUCUUGCUAUUAGAUUAUUCUCUGAUGACUAGUUACAUCUUGUACGUAAGUUUUUACCACCCAGAUAAUGCUGUCAUUAUUUUCCUGAGCAACCACUGGAAGGGAAUUAAUCUCUGUGAAUCAGCCCUGAAGCUUCAUGUAUAUACGAGUAUAUAUGUGAACGUAUGUAUGCAUUUUUACAUUUAGUGAAAAAAUCACCAUAGGAUGUUAUUUGAAUCCAAGGGGGGUUUGUUUAAAUAAUGGAGUCACUGAAGAACAUUUUGAAAAUAAGGCUGGUCCUGAAACUACCUGUAAAAUGCUUGACAGCAAAUGGCUGAUUGACUAUGAUAAAAAAAAAAAAACACCCUGCAAAAAGCAGCAUUUGUAUUUCAGUGUUGCUGUUGACAUUCACGUAUUCACGUGGUGUCUGAGAGCAAAAUAUCUGAAUAACAUUUGGAUUUGUGACUAUUAAAUAUUGCCUAUUUCUGUAAAGGCUUAUUGGGUAGU